rfam:Triticum aestivum genome assembly, contig: Triticum_aestivum_CS42_TGACv1_scaffold_602693_7DL
AACGUACUCCCUCCGACCCAAAAAUUUUGUCUUAGAUUUGUCUAAAUACGGAUGUAUCAAAUCACCUUUUAGUAUUAGAUACAUCCGUAUAUAGCUAAAUUUAAGACAAGAAUUUUGGGACGGAGGGAGUAAUAU